rnacentral:rRNA from 1 species
CCUAGCGGCGGACGGGUGAGUAAUGCUUAGGAAUCUGCCUAUUAGUGGGGGACAACAUUCCGAAAGGAAUGCUAAUACCGCAUACGCCCUACGGGGGAAAGCAGGGGAUCUUCGGACCUUGCGCUAAUAGAUGAGCCUAAGUCAGAUUAGCUAGUUGGUGGGGUAAAGGCCUACCAAGGCGACGAUCUGUAGCGGGUCUGAGAGGAUGAUCCGCCACACUGGGACUGAGACACGGCCCAGACUCCUACGGGAGGCAGCAGUGGGGAAUAUUGGACAAUGGGCGCAAGCCUGAUCCAGCCAUGCCGCGUGUGUGAAGAAGGCCUUUUGGUUGUAAAGCACUUUAAGCGAGGAGGAGGCUACUUGGAUUAAUACUCUAGGAUAGUGGACGUUACUCGCAGAAUAAGCACCGGCUAACUCUGUGCCAGCAGCCGCGGUAAUACAGAGGGUGCGAGCGUUAAUCGGAUUUACUGGGCGUAAAGCGUGCGUAGGCGGCUUUUUAAGUCGGAUGUGAAAUCCCUGAGCUUAACUUAGGAAUUGCAUUCGAUACUGGGAAGCUAGAGUAUGGGAGAGGAUGGUAGAAUUCCAGGUGUAGCGGUGAAAUGCGUAGAGAUCUGGAGGAAUACCGAUGGCGAAGGCAGCCAUCUGGCCUAAUACUGACGCUGAGGUACGAAAGCAUGGGGAGCAAACAGGAUUAGAUACCCUGGUAGUCCAUGCCGUAACGAUGUCUACUAGCCGUUGGGGCCUUUGAGGCUUUAGUGGCGCAGCUAACGCGAUAAGUAG